GUGCUUACUCUGGCAGCACAUAUACUAAAACUGGAAUGAUUCAGGGAAGAUUAGUAUGGCCCCUGUGCAAGGAUGACACAUGAAUUCGUGAAGCAUUCUAUAUUAAA